ACUGAUAAUAACUAUAUGUAUACUAUAUACACGAGCAUAUAUAUGCAAGUUAGAGUCUUCACCGCUUUGGUUUUCUCUGCCUCAUAGUGUUAUAUUAUAUCUAAUCACAUCCUUCAUAGUCUUUAUAUAUGUUCAUGUAUAUAGUUAUUAUCAGUUGUUUGAAGAUUUUAACUCUUCCUUAUCUUAUAUGUUACUUCUUUUUUCUUUCUACCUUGUUUUCUGAAUCUGUUCCAUGGUUUGUUUUCCUAUAAACGUAUAUCUGUAUGUACAUCUCUAAAAAUUACUCAAACAUUCACAUAAAAUAAAAAGAAAAUUUUGGACUGCAAUAAAAUUAAAGUAAAAAAAAGGUGAGACUGUGCCCAGAAACAUAUUACAGAUCAUAAACUUGAAUGGAGAUGGAAGAAAGCAAUCAUCCCCCACAAGCUCCAUCAACCAAGGUCAUGCUUUCUCCCAUACCAAACGAAGAUUCUGAUUACACCAUAUUUCUUAAACUGCUCUAGAUUCCCCGCGAUCUCCAUUUCCAUCCUUGUGAAUAUCAUUUUGAUCUAUGCUUUCAUCAAGGUUGAUGCAGUUAUACCAUCUUGCACAAAACACGUAAAUCACAAAA